AUUUGUUUGCUCCUUGAUCUAAAUUGGACGCAAAGAGUGGGUUCCUGUGUUUGCACGGAUGGAAACUUGUGCCUUUCGUUGACCCUUUCAUCGUAACAUCCCUUUGGAUGCUCGGUUGUACUAGAUAGUAGGGCUCGUGCUCCACGAACUUCUUCUAUGAUCGUUUCGAUGGACCACGAUUGCCUACUUGUCCUCUCGGAUGCGGAAUUUUCUUAAUGGGUAUUGGKUCUUUGGCCCUUGUUCCCAAAUCUUUAAUCGUUUAUUGCUUUACUGGAAUGACGCUCUUGCYUUGCCUUUGACCUCGCGGAGCUCUCGUGCUUCACGAUGGAUCAAUGCUUGG
rnacentral:misc_RNA from 1 species